AUGAUGCUGAUGAAGGUUGUUGAAUUACAAAUAUUGAAGAUUCUUGAAGAACCUUUGAAUCACCAUGAUCACACACUUCUAUUCAUCAUUCUUCUUCAACGAACCGCAACCGUUUCUAUUCGUCACUCCAGCAUAUCCGGAAGAAUUGUUCGGGAAAAAUGUUUGGAUCUUAUUCCGCGUAGGUGCAGGUUUGGAGCAAGAGUCUUGGAGCUUAUCCUUGGCAUAUUAUUGAAGUACCUUGGUCAGAAAAGUAUGGCAGUGGGUAUUGGUGAAAGUUACAACAAUGUUUUGGAGCUGAAUCAAAGAUGUGCCAUGGAAGCUUGGAGCUUUGACCUUAGAUUUAGGCAAACUGGUUGA